GGCAGUGGUGGCUCAGUGGUUAAGGCUCUGGGUUACUGAUCAGAAGGGUUCAAGCCCCAGCACUGCCA